GACGUAGGGUGCUAGCGUUGUCCGGAAUCAUUGGGCGUAAAGCGCGUGUAGGCGGCCCGGUAAGUCCGCUGUGAAAGUCGGGGGCUCAACCCUCGGAUGCCGGUGGAUACUGUCGGGCUCGAGUACGGAAGAGGCGAGUGGAAUUCCUGGUGUAGCGGUGAAAUGCGCAGAUAUCAGGAGGAACACCAAUUGCGAAGGCAGCUCGCUGGGACGUUACUGACGCUGAGACGCGAAAGCGUGGGGAGCAAACAGG
rnacentral:rRNA from 1 species